GUCCACGCCCUAAACGAUGCACACUAGACCGAUGCGGCUCUGACGCCGUAUUGGUCGUAGAGAAAUUGAUAAGUGUGCCGCCUGGGGAGUACGGUCGCAAGGCUAAAACUCAAAGAAAUUGACGGGGGCUCACACAAGCGGUGGAGCAUGUUGCUUAAUUCGAAGCAACGCGAAGAACCUUACCCGGGUUUGACAUGCACGGAUUAGUCCCUGGAAACAGGGGUGACACCCGCAAGGGUGGAACGUGCACAGGUGCUGCAUGGCUGUCGU
rnacentral:rRNA from 1 species